AAUAAAUACAGGUUUACACUGUUUAUGUCCAACGUUUGACCAUUCAUCUUAUUUGAAAAUAUUUUAUGAUUAGUAUUUUUAUUGUUAUUAGAUGAUAAAACAUAAAUAGCAAUUUAUGUGUGACUAAUUAUUUUAGUUUCUUCGUAAUUCUUUAAAAUAAGAUGUACGGUCCAAUAUUGGACACGGAUACGCACGACUGCAUUUAUU
rfam:Oryza glumipatula chromosome 8, whole genome shotgun sequence.